UACGUAGGUGACAAGCGUUGUCCGGAUUUACUGGGCGUAAAGAGCGCGCAGGCGGUCGUUCAAGUCGAGUGUGAAAGCCCCCGGCUCAACUGGGGAGGGUCACUCGAUACUGAUCGACUCGAAGGCAGGAGAGGGUAGUGGAAUUCCCGGUGUAGUGGUGAAAUGCGUAGAUAUCGGGAGGAACACCAGUGGCGAAGGCGACUACCUGGCCUGUUCUUGACGCUGAGGCGCGGAAAGCUAGGGGAGCAAACGGGG
rnacentral:rRNA from 1 species